rnacentral:lncRNA from 1 species
AGUAAAACAGCAUUCUUUUCUAAAUCAAGUUUAUUUUAAAAAAAAAAUAAUAUCGCAAAUAAUACACGAUUAUAAUAUAAUCUAACAGAGAAAAAAAGUGUCAAAUACACUUACGUCCGAUACGUUAUUUACGUAAACCACGAGUACACACAUUUCCGCGGGAUUUUUUUAAGCACGAGUUUCACGAUUAACAAUUCAAUGACAUUAUUGAAGAUCGUUAGUCUAAGUUUAACG